AACAGUGUUGGGCGAAAUCCGUAUAAAUACUCACUUAAGUUUUCAUAUGAAAACCCAUUGGUGAAUGCCGCUGGAAGCUGGACACGAACCUCCAAAACAUGGAGACUAGAGUAGAGGAGUCCCAUCUCUGUACACAAGUGCUCUUUCCAUUGCACCACGGCUGGCACUGAGGGGGGCGGCCGUAGCCCAGUGGAUAGGGUAGCGGAUUCACGACCGAAAAGUUGGAGGUUCGCGCCUAGCUUCCAGCGGCAUUCACCAAUGGGUUUUAAUAUGAAAACUUAAGACCAGUUACUGGCACAUGUCCCCCAUUGGGGAUACAGCCAUAAGGAAAGGAAGGAAGGGAAGGACGGCUGAUAUGUCGGCAGGACAACAUUUUCACAGGGCUUGUACACCACAUGCGCAGUUCAAUUCGGAAAGGACAACCUUAUCCACCAUGUGACUGAGACAGCUGCGCGCUGGCCGGAUUACCUCCGAAUAGAGGCAUACGAAUUCCAUUAUGGUUAGAGUUAAGUGCAUAAAACUAAUAAAUAUUUGGCAAAAGAAAAAGUUCAACAAAUAAAAUGCUUCUGGGCUAGAGGCGCUGUAGUCAGUGCCGAUUUUCUAACACGGGAGGCGACGCACUCUAGAAUUAUCUACCAAUAUGACAUAGAAUGUUCCACUAAUUAAUGACCACUAAAUGUUUUAAUUAAGCCACUAAUAGCUAGCAAGAGUUCCUGCUUUGAUUAGGAGCUUCCUGAGCAAGAUCGGCUUAGAAUUGUAAAUUUUAUCAAUAA